AUAAAAUAACAUAAUAUAAAAUGUUCUUGUUCCUUAAAUUAAUUUUUUUAUAACAAUGAUCUCUUUUUAUUCCUUAUAUUGUUUCGGUUUAAAGUUAAAAAUAUUAUUUAAAUAUCAUUACUAAAACCUAAAUAAAUAAAGUGCACUCAUGAACUUUUUUUAAAUUUGUUAGAUUGUUCAAUUAAGUGGGAUUCCAGUAAUUGAACGAAUUGUUCAAUUUAACGAGUAUCCGUUGAUUGAUUUCCCGGUUAAUUGAACCAAAAAAUUGCAAUUUUAGAAGUGCAAUUAUCCGAGGGAUACUGUACCUAUGUACAUAUUUUUUGAUGCGUUUGCAGCAAAAUGGAAAAACUGAAUAGUAAAUGCUUCAGUUUUAUCUAGAUCGCAUUUUCCUAUCCAUAGUUCAAAGAAUGAUAUGGGGAUUAAGUGGAAGUUUUGCUUUUGUUCGGUUUACAAGUGUUGCUAUUGAGAGAAGGCAGCUGGUAUCCAAAUUUAACUUUCUCAUCUUUAAUUUCUCUCCCUUCUUGUUUUACUAAAGCUAUGUUCAGACAGUGCAGCUCUCGUUGGUAACUCGGUAAGUUUUUAAGAGGCAGCGGCAAGCGAUAUUUAAUGAAUGACCCAUAGAGGAAAUACUAUUUUAGACAAUCGUUUGAAUUUGAACCGAAUCGCGACCAUUAGCAAAGACACCUUUUUUAUUAUUAAACGGGUUGAGGAUCGAAUACAGAUCUAUCACAACUGCCGUCGCUUUAUCAUAGCAAAGACAAACAAGAUAACUGUGAUGUGAUAUGCGCAGUUAACUAUCAUGAAAUAAGCGCGUGUUCAAAAACUUAACCACACAUAAUAUUUUUAAGUUUUUACCUAGGUACAUAUGUAUACAUAUGUAUCAUGAAUGUGGUUGCUAUUGGGAAGUUUUCGUAGAAUAUUACUCAUAUUUGUUGGUGCCCAGUAAACCGCCCAUUAAAGAUAAAUAUAACUACAAUACAAUCAGUUUUCUGUGUUUUUAUUUGAAGCUAUGUAACUGAACUGCCGUGACGCUCACCUCCAUAAUAACGGUAUACUUCAAUUGAUAUUUACCUAAAUCAGCACGAAUCAAUGAACCCCAAACCCAAAUAUAAUCUAUAAUCACAAUUUUUACUAUAUUUUUCGAAGGUCAAAUAAAACAAAAUCAAGCAGAACUGUUAACAUUUAAGGUGAGGUGAGGUGUGAUUAACAUUUGCCGCUGAUAAAUGGAAAUGGAAAAUGGAAAGAAAUCAGUUCGAGCAUCCGAAUUUGAAACAAAGGCGGUCUGUGUACCUACCACCUCAACUGUACUUAUAGAGUGGCUGUGGCUAUAUCUGUUAGAUAACUCAGAGGCGAGAACACGGUUUCUCUGGAGAAAAGGUUAAAUAAGCAAAUCAUUUUAUAAAUCGAUGACUAGAACUAGUCAAUGAGACAACAAGCAUGCACAUAAAUGCACUUUGUACACUUUCGUAAAAAUCCGAAUACGUAAGAGAGCAUAUGGAAAAAGAGAGAAAACCGAGCAAACGAACAAUCCCUAUGAUCACAUUGGAGGGGAGGAAAACUGAGGGCUAACAAAAACAUAAAACCUCCAUUAAAAAUACACACUUCCACACCGUACCGAGAUUACUAAUGAGCCAAGUAGGAGGGACAUGAAAACAGCUGCACUCCUUUAAGCAGAUCCCUAAAUAAUAACAAUCGAUAUCAAGCGGGGCGUCAGCGGUGUGUCUACUGACGGCGUUUUCGAGGGCGCAUGAGUAAGCGACUUUCACCGAACUGUUCAAAAAACACAUAUCCAUACAUACAUGCAUACCUACAUACAUAUAAACAAUCAUGCACUAAAUGAGUUAAUAUGAUUAUUUCUGCAACGAUUUGUCACAGCUAAAAUCCCGGCGCAGUGCCGACCCCCGGUCUUUAAAACUCCUAUUCAAUCACGCUGCUUGCACAUGAUACUUGUUUGUUGGGCGUUUGUCAACUCGUUUUCAGUCUUAAAAUAAACUGCUACUUGGAGCGACGAGAUCCCGAUUGUCGAACAGACUCUCCAGCCACUAUCAGCCAACCGCGUUGUUGGUGGCCAACACGCAGACGUGGCGUGCCAAUCGGAAUAUUUAGUUCAGUAUCUGCCGCCGCAGCAGAAACUCAACAAGCGAAAAAUAAAUGAAAAUGAAAAAUGCUACCAUUUGAAUUCUUCUACUUGCUACUUCCAAGUAGUGCAGGUUUAAAAAUAGAGUUUCAACACCAGCAUGCUGCAUGUAAAAGCCUGCUACUCUAGCUAUUGCACUGCAAUAAUUCUUCACAUUUCAUAUCAAUUAACACAUCAAAUUUGUUUUUGUUCAAAUUGGUCGAAUUGACGAAAGUGCAUCAGACGUUUACGGGUGCCAAUAUAUGAAUAAAGCCAAAUUUAUGCAAAUAAUAAAAACGGAAAUUAGAGAGAAAAAAUUAAACUCACUUCACUCCACAAAUGCAAACAAACAAACGACGAAAUGACACCAGCAACAACCAGAGGCGGAAUUAAGGCGAAACGGCGGUAUUGCGUAGAAGGAUUGGACCGCGAGCGCGAUCACUUC